CUGACAGCUGUGGGCCAACCUAGAGCUUAAAAUGCAUGACCAAGCAUCUCUGGGACUUCAUUAUGCCAGUUCAGGGCUGUCUCUGAUCUCUGGCAUGGAUGCUUACAGUCAGCAAGCACAGUCAGAAGGAAGCCCUGGAUCUGAAGAGAAAAUCUUCAUGCUGCCUUGUUGUACCUGGGCCUCAUCUGCACACCAACCAGAAGUGUCAACCCAAUAGUUUAGGAGCCAGUGUUCACCCUGGGCAAUCAACAAUAAGCCUUGAGUGACUUCAGCUGUCAAAUGUCUCUGAUCCCCAAAUUCUUACAAAGGAGACUUGCAAAGAUUGUAAUCUUUCCUUCCUAAUAUACUUUAAACUGCUUCUGUAAUAAAGAGGUAAGUGUGUA